rnacentral:rRNA from 1 species
CUGCUCAGUAACACGUGGACAACCUACCCUUAGGUCGGGGAUAAACCCGGGAAACUGGGUAUAAUACCCGAUAGAUCUCGACUGCUGGAAUGCAUCGAGAUCCAAAGCUCCGGCGCCUAAGGAUGGGUCUGCGGCCUAUCAGGUAGUAGUGGGUGUAGCGUACCUACUAGCCUACGACGGGUACGGGUUGUGAGAGCAAGAGCCCGGAGAUGGAUUCUGAGACACGAAUCCAGGCCCUACGGGGUGCAGCAGGCGCGAAAACUUUACAAUGCUGGAAACAGCGAUAAGGGGACCUCGAGUGCCAGGUUACAAAUCUGGCUGUCGUGAUGCCUAAAAAGCAUUGCAUAGCAAGGGCCGGGCAAGACCGGUGCCAGCCGCCGCGGUAACACCGGCGGCUCGAGUGGUAACCGUUAUUAUUGGGUCUAAAGGGUCUGUAGCCGGCCGGAUAAGUCUCUUGGGAAAUCCAGCAGCUCAACUGUUGGGCUUUCAGGAGAUACUGUCUGGCUCGAGGCCGGGAGAGGUGAGAGGUACUUCAGGGGUAGGGGUGAAAUCUUGUAAUCCUUGAAGGACCACCAGUGGCGAAGGCGUCUCACCAGAACGGACCUGACGGCAAGGGACGAAAGCUAGGGGCACGAACCGGAU